rnacentral:rRNA from 1 species
UAAUACGUAGGGGUCGAGCGUUGUCCGGAGUUACUGGGCGUAAAGCGCGCGCAGGCGGCGCGAUAAGACCGGCGUGAAAGCCCCCGGCUCAACCGGGGAGGGUCGUUGGUGACUGUCGCGCUUGAAGGCAGCAGGGGUGAGUGGAAUUCCCGGUGUAGUGGUGAAAUGCGUAGAGAUCGGGAGGAACACCCGUGGCGAAGGCGGCUCACUGGGCUGACCUUGACGCUGAGGCGCGAAGGCGUGGGGAGCGAACGGGAUUAGAUACCCCGGUAGUCCACGCAGUAAACGAUGCAGACUAGGCGUGGGGGGACUUGACCCCCUCCGUGCCGGAGCUAACGCGGUAAGUCUGCCGCCUGGGGAGUACGGCCGCAAGGCUA